rnacentral:rRNA from 1 species
GCAAGCAUCCCCGCCCCAGUGAGAAUGCCCUCUAUAUCUAUAACUGAUCAAAAGGUGCAGGCAUCAAGUUCACUACUCCUAGUAGCUCAUAACGCCUUGCUCCACCACACCCCCACGGGACACAGCAGUAAUUAACAUUAAGCCUAUAAACGAAAGUUUGACUAAGUUAAGCUAAAUUAGGGUUGGUAAAUUUCGUGCCAGCCACCGCGGUCAUACGAUUAACCCUAGUUAAUGAAAUACGGCGUAAAGCGUGAUUAAGAGACUAAUUAGAUAAGAUUAAAAUUAUACUAAACUGUAAAAAGUCUUGGUGUUAAUGAAAAUCAAAUACGAAAGUAAUCUUAAAUUUUCUGAAUUCACGAUAGCUAAGACUCAAACUGGGAUUAGAUACCCCACUAUGCUUAGCCCUAAACAUAAAUAUUCAACAAACAAGAAUAUUCGCCAGAGUACUACUAGCAAUGGCCUAAAACUCAAAGGACUUGGCGGUGCUUUAUACCCUCUAGAGGAGCCUGUUCUAUAAUCGAUAAACCCCGAUACACCUCACCACCUUUAGCAAAUAUCAGCCUAUAUACCGCCAUCUGCAGCAAACCCUAAAAAGGUCCUAUAGUAAGCAAGAAAAUUCUACAUUAGUACGUUAGGUCAAGGUGUAGCCUAUAAGGUGGGAAGAAAUGGGCUACAUUUUCUAUUUUCCUAGAACAAAUUUACAAUAGCUUUUAUGAAAUUCAGAGCAUAAGGCGGA